AGCGAACGCUGGCGGCAGGCCUAACACAUGCAAGUCGAACGGACCCUUCGGGGUUAGUGGCGGACGGGUGAGUAACACGUGGGAACGUGCCUUUAGGUUCGGAAUAGCUCCUGGAAACGGGUGGUAAUGCCGAAUGUGCCCUUCGGGGGAAAGAUUUAUCGCCUUUAGAGCGGCCCGCGUCUGAUUAGCUAGUUGGUGAGGUAAUGGCUCACCAAGGCGACGAUCAGUAGCUGGUCUGAGAGGGUGACCAGCCACAUUGGGACUGAGACACGGCCCAAACUCCUACGGGAGGCAGCAGUGGGGAAUCUUGCGCAAUGGGCGAAAGCCUGACGCAGCCAUGCCGCGUGAAUGAUGAAGGUCUUAGGAUUGUAAAAUUCUUUCACCGGGGACGAUAAUGACGGUACCCAGAGAAGAAGCCCCGGCUAACUUCGUGCCAGCCGCCGCAGUAAGAC
rnacentral:rRNA from 1 species